AGCUUUCUGAAUUCGUACAAAGAUUUUGUUAGACACUAACCCAUUAGGGCUGAUCAAACUUCUAAGAUAAGUGAAGUU
rnacentral:pre_miRNA from 1 species